rnacentral:rRNA from 1 species
AUUGAACGCUGGCGGGCAUGACCUUACACAUGCAAGUCGAACGGCAGCACGGGAGCUUGCUCCUGGUGGCGAGUGGCGAACGGGUGAGUAAUACAUCGGAACGUACCCUGAAGUGGGGGAUAACGUAGCGAAAGUUACGCUAAUACCGCAUAUUCUGUGAGCAGGAAAGAGGGGGAUCGCAAGACCUCUUGCUUUAGGAGCGGCCGAUGUCGGAUUAGCUAGUUGGUGAGGUAAAGGCUCACCAAGGCGACGAUCCGUAGCGGGUCUGAGAGGAUGAUCCGCCACACUGGGACUGAGACACGGCCCAGACUCCUACGGGAGGCAGCAGUGGGGAAUUUUGGACAAUGGGCGCAAGGCCUGAUCCAGCCAUGCCGCGUGAGUG